CCUACUAUGAAGAAAUUUUCGAUAAGGUAAAAGGAAGGUGUAAAAGCCUUGGUGAUUUGAGCUGUCACGUGAUGCGCCUCAUGCAGCUUUCUAGCAUUCAUUGGCCGUUUCUCCUAUCCACAGCGCCGAUGUGCGAUGACCGAUCGGUGAACGAAUGUCACGAAAGUUACGCGAUAGGGUCCAGUCUUCGUUUCAAAGAAAGGUGAUGAAGGAAGUGGAUUUUCACAAUUGAUUGACAGGAUUCCGAAGCGAUCAGCAACACGAAGGCAUAGAGUACAAAUCCCAGGACGUUGAAAGUGAUAACCACUGUUCGAUGCGUCCUGGCAAGCCUUUUUCUUCUGGUGACCAUCAUACUCCUUCACAUAUUGAGCUUCAGAAAGAACGAGCGGCUCUGGAUUCACAGAAACCUCACCCUGUGCUUGCUCAUCUCCGAGUUCGUCGUUCAAUGGUGGCAUCAACCAGACUCACCUGCCCAUCCUGUGCGGGGUCGUGGCCGGUCUUCUCCACUAUUUCCUGCUGGUCGCAUUUGCCUGGAUGUUCCUUGAGGGCUUCCAAAUCUACACAGUCCUCAUGGAGCCCAUGGACGGCCACAGGUCAUGGCUGUGGUGGUUCUGCAGCCUGACAUACAUUGCACCUGCCGUCAUCGUUUCCAUUGCGGCCAUCAUUGUUCCCUACAGCUUUGGCACCUCCAGCUACUGCUGGCUGUAGUCACAAAUCCCGAUAGGUUUAUGCGGCAUCACAUUACGUUAUACCUGUAGUAAAAUGUUCUGCACAUUUAUAUUACCACAUUAUAUG